rnacentral:rRNA from 1 species
CCUACGGGCGGCAGCAGUGAGGAAUAUUGGUCAAUGGCCGGAAGGCUGAACCAGCCAUGCCGCGUGAAGGUCAGUGCCCUAUGGGCGUUAAACUUCUUUUGUGCGGGAGCAAGAAUGGUCACGUGGGGCCAGACGAGAGGACCGUACGAAUAAGCAGCGGCUAACUCCGUGCCAGCAGCCGCGGGAAUACGGGGGAUGCAAGCGUUAUCCGGAUUUCUGGGGUUUAAAGGGUGCGUAGGCUGUGAGGUAAGUCAGCGGGGAAAUGCCCCCGCUCAACGGGGUGAAGUGCCAUUGAUACUGCCUUGCUGGACUGCGGCUGCCGUGGGCGGAAUGUGUGGUGUAGCGG